rnacentral:hammerhead_ribozyme from 1 species
GCACUGCUGAUGAGAUCGAACUAGGUCGAAACAGCUGUCCAGUGC